rnacentral:tRNA from 1 species
CGGGACGUAGCGCAGCCCGGUUUAGCGCGCCUGGUUUGGGACCAGGAGGUCGUGGGUUCAAAUCCCACCGUCCCGACC